rnacentral:tRNA from 1 species
GUGAAAGUAGUUUAAUAGAAUUGUGGCUUUGGGAGCUGUAGGUGCAUGUAAUGUGUCUUUCACA